GUCCCUGUUGCGCAAUGGAUAUCGCGUUAGACUUCUAAUCUAAAGGUUGUGGGUUCGAUUCCCAACUGGGAUG